UACAGAGGGUGCGAGCGUUAAUCGGAAUUACUGGGUGUAAAGGGCGCGUAGGCGGCAAGAUAUGUGUGAUGUGAAAGCCCCGGGCUUAACCUGGGAAGUGCAUUGCAAACUGUCUGGCUAGAGUAUAUGAGAGGGUGGCGGAAUUUCCGGUGUAGCGGUGAAAUGCGUAGAGAUCGGAAGGAACGUCAAUGGCGAAGGCAGCCACCUGGCAUAAUACUGACGCUGAGGCGCGAAAGCGUGGGGAGCGAAC
rnacentral:rRNA from 1 species